rnacentral:rRNA from 1 species
AUUGAACGCUGGCGGCAGGCCUAACACAUGCAAGUCGAGCGGAUGAAGGGAGCUUGCUCCUGGAUUCAGCGGCGGACGGGUGAGUAAUGCCUAGGAAUCUGCCUGGUAGUGGGGGAUAACGUCCGGAAACGGGCGCUAAUACCGCAUACGUCCUGAGGGAGAAAGUGGGGGAUCUUCGGACCUCACGCUCUCAGAUGAGCCUAGGUCGGAUUAGCUAGUUGGUGGGGUAAAGGCCUACCAAGGCGACGAUCCGUAACUGGUCUGAGUGGAUGAUCAGUCACACUGGAACUGAGACACGGUCCAGACUCCUACGGGAGGCAGCAGUGGGGAAUAUUGGACAAUGGGCGAAAGCCUGAUCCAGCCAUGCCGCGUGUGUGAAGAAGGUCUUCGGAUUGUAAAGCACUUUAAGUUGGGAGGAAGGGCAGUAAGUUAAUACCUUGCUGUUUUGACGUUACCAACAGAAUAAGCACCGGCUAACUUCGUG